UUUCCCUUUGAUAGUUUAAAUUCUUCGUUUUAUGUUUCGAUCGGGGUAACAGAACUAGGCGAAUUAAGAUCGUCUAGGCUCGAGGACUUGGAAAUUGAGGGAGUUUUUAGAGCCACCAAAGACUACAUAGAUUUCUGCUUAUUGAAGGAGGAUGUCAAUCCCUUCAUUUCUCAGAUUGAAUUGAGGCCAUUACCUGAAGAAUACCUACAUGGUUUCGGUACUAGUGUUUUAAAACUGAUAAGCAGAAACAAUCUUGGUGACACAAAUGAUGAUAUAAGGUAUGUGAUCUUACUUUAUUUUUAGGUAGAUUCCACCUCUAUUUUACAGGGAGUGUCUCUCAGGAAACCUAAAAGGCUUAGGGUUUGUCACUACUUGGUUCUUAUGGAAGCAUCAUAUGUUCAUACUUAGUAGAUAUAUAUUGUAUAAAAAUCAACAUCUUUCUCCGUAAGGGAUAGAAAUUGCAAUUCAUGUUAUGUUGAGCAUAUUUAAACCAAAAUAAUUUGAGGAAUAUGAUGCAUGAACCUUUCUGCCAAAUGCAUGACAUAACCUAUGUUUCACUUUACAUAUAGAAUUAUAAGAUGUGUUUACAUCUUUAUAUUAACUUUGAUCUUUAUGAUGCACUGAGAUACACCUGAAUUUAAAUAACAAAUGGAGAAGCAAGAAUCUAGAACUCUACCAUUCAAUCCAUUGUAAUAUGGAACUCACAAGAAUUAACUAUUGCCACUUCAGAUUAAAUACCCUAAGAGUGUGUUUGUGGAUGAGGGAAUGUUUUGAGGGAAUGUAAUGUUUUGAGGGAAUUCCUCAAAACAUUACAUUACCUCAAAAUAUUCCCCCAUCCAAACACACUAUAAAGGAUCCUAAUCUAGUGUAGCCUUAGUUUUCUAUUGAAGUGAUUUGUGUUUAGAGUUUGGUCUGCAUCUGCAACUUUGUUUUGUUGCUGUAAUGCCAUGACUAUGAACACUGACAGAAAGGUCUCAUAAUAUCGGUAUCUAUCAAUUUUAGGUUCCCAGAUGACCAAAAUGAUAGAAUCUGGAAACGGAAAGAAACUUCAACUCCAACAUCUGCCCUUCCACUGUCUUUCAAUGUCAGCAAUGUUGACCUCAAAGACAGUGUCACACCUCCUCUACAAGUCCUACAAACAGCUCUUACUCACCCUGAGCGAUUGGAGUUCGUCCAUGAUGGCCUCGAGACCGAUGAUUAUGAAUACUCUGUGUUUCUCCACUUUCUUGAACUAAAUGGCACUGUCAGAGCAGG
rnacentral:lncRNA from 1 species